UACGAAGGGGGCUAGCGUUGUUCGGAAUUACUGGGCGUAAAGCGCACGUAGGCGGAUUUUUAAGUCAGGGGUGAAAUCCCGAGGCUCAACCUCGGAACUGCCUUUGAUACUGGAGAUCUUGAGUUCGGAAGAGGUUGGUGGAACAGCUAGUGUAGAGGUGAAAUUCGUAGAUAUUAGCUAGAACACCAGUGGCGAAGGCGGCUCACUGGUCCGGUACUGACGCUGAGGUGCGAAAGCGUGGGGAGCAAACAGG
rnacentral:rRNA from 1 species